GACAGUGUGAGAGAGAGUCUUAAAGGAGAGGAGACUAAUCAUGCCAACUUGCAAUCCUAAUCAAAAUUUAAUCUUUUCUCUCUUAACCACGUUGUUUCCUCGAGUUUUCCCUCCCUUUAUAACCAUCACCACCACCUCGUCUCCUCCCUCCCGCUUAUCACCCAAGUCGUCUUCUUCCUCCAGCUCCGGGACCUGGCUAGCUACUAGCUCUAGCUGGGCUGGGCACCAAGAAAAGCUAGCCAAGAUCGAGUCUUGAUCGGCGAUGACGACGGGGGAGGAGGCGGCGGCGGUGCCGCGGGUGGUGGCGAUCCUGUCGUCGCUGCUCCAGCGGGUGGCGGAGCGGAACGACGCGGCGGCGGUGGACGUCGGGGCGGCGGCGAAGCGGCAGCAGCAGCAGCAGGCGCAGGCGGUGUCGGCGUUCCAUGGGUUGACGAAGCCGGCGAUAUCCGUCGGCGGGUACCUGGAGCGGAUCUUCCGGUUCGCCAACUGCAGCCCGUCGUGCUAUGUCGUCGCCUACAUCUACCUGGACCGGUUCCUCCGCCGCCGGCCCGCCCUCGCCGUCGACUCCUUCAACGUCCACCGCCUCCUCAUCACCUCCGUCCUCACCGCCGUCAAGUUCGUCGACGACAUAUGCUACAACAAUGCCUACUUCGCGAGGGUGGGAGGCAUCAGCCUGAUGGAGAUGAACUACCUGGAGGUGGACUUCCUCUUCGGCAUCGCCUUCGACCUCAACGUCACGCCGGCCGCCUUCGCCUCCUACUGCGCCGUGCUGCAGAGCGAGAUGGCCUACCUGGAGCAGCCGGCCGCCGUCGAUCUCCCCAGCCUGCACUGCUGCCCGUCCGAUCAGGACGAUGCCGGCUGCUGCCAUCACAAGCAGCAGCAACAGCAACAACAACAGCAGCAUCAGCAUCAGCAUCAGCUGACUGUCUGAAGAAUCAGGAGUUCAGAAUCGAUCAGAAGUUCAGAGCUCUUCUUUUUUGUCACUGGAUGUGGUGUCAGUUUGCCAUUGUCUAUUUCUUUUUUUCUCCUCUUUUUUCUCUUUAACCGUGAUUGGUACAUAGGUGUUAGUUAAUUGGUGUUAGCGAAGCAUUGAGCUUGAUUAGAUAGGUGGAUCAUGGAUGGGGUCAGGUUCUUGGGAUAUUUUUUUUCUUCGCCAAUGUUCGUCUGAUGGAUGGAUGGAUCAUGGACAGGUGGAUCAGCUUUGGGGAUCUUGCCAUUGUUUAAGUGAUGCUAACUUGUGCGCAUGGGCAAGAAAAGGGUAGGAAAGCUAUCAUGGGAUGGUGGCGACAAUUGGGUUAUUGGUCAGAACAUGGCAUGUUUCUCCAAUGUUUGGACAAAAAUGAUGAGCUCAGCAUAUCUCAUGAAAGAAGAAAAAAAGGGUUAGUUAUGUGGAGUAUUUGGUGGACUGGGAACCUGAAAACUCUGAAUAAAUGCAGAGAGCAACUGAAAAUUGUCAGUCUGAAAUAGUAGUCAGUUGAUAGUACUGGCAUAAAUGUCACUGGAGUACAAUUCCAUUAAUAUGGAAAGUUCAAUAAAGCAAGAAAGAACCAAUGGUUUGUUCGAUCUACCAAAAAGAGAAGAUGAUGUGCCAUUGCUUUCUUCAGACUCCAGAGCUAUCCCAGUUUAUUCAGAGUUACUACACUGCAACUUUGUAAGUAACAGCAAGCAACAACUUGCCAGAAUUUCUCCAGGAACAGAAGUAACUGAGGAGUCUCGAAAAGAAAUAUAAGAACACAAAUAACUGCAAUGCCAAAUUGCCAAUUCACCUCAUGCACUGGACAAGUAGAUGAGAGAUUCUCAUGCAUGGCAGCACACACAGGCAUCUUGAGUGAGUGGUGUAUUAGACAGGUAACAAUUAAAGGGUGCCACGACCAGGAACAGUAGAUGUAUCAUGUCACAUACUGUUUAUACAGGUGUUAGUGAAGAGCAAGGAUGGUUAGAACGUGGUGUGCAUGAGGUUUGUAGGGCUAGCCAAGUGGUUGUGGAGGGCAAACACUGCGUGCCAACUUUUGAGCUGGUGUAAUAUAUAAUGCCUUUGGCCUUAAUGCUGUGAGCUGGACAUGAACAUGGAUGCCGGUCACAAUAAAAUUUCCGGCAGUUGAGAAAUGGUGAGAUGACCGGUGAUGCAGGGGUGAGGCUUGAUUGCUUGCAGCCAAGUCAGAAGGAGAGAACCAGUAAACGAUUCCCUCUCUACUCAUUUGACAUUCCAGGUGAAGGUUAUGUGCAUCCUAAGCUAAUGUGCUGUACUUGGUGAGCUUGAGCUAGCUAGUGUACUUGUAUAUUGUAACUAGCAUGUUCUUAAUUAUAGAUUACCUGUUUUUUAACAGCUGGUUGUAUGAUUUGGAAUUU